rnacentral:lncRNA from 1 species
CUGGAGCGCCGGGACUGUGAGAUGGCCAAUGACGGUCUGACCCGUUGGGCCGGGCCAGGUCGCGGACAACGUCGACCGUUUGUUUAAGAAGCGUGGACUCUUGUCCUGAGUGCACCGAGGCUUUCAGCCUGCGGGACAGUGGUGCGAUUUGCAUUAGAGAAAGGGAGAUGCCAUGUGCUGGCCCAGCACUCCAACAGGGGCCUGACCUCUAGGAACGGGACACUGGAGGAAGCCUAGACAUUUGAACAAAUCAAGUCAUCCAGAUCCACGGUCAGCUCCUGCCCCGACUUGGCCUUCCUCCUGCUUUGCUGGCCCACGGACCUCGGGAACCUGCCCUGGCUGUGGGUGACCUGCAGGUACUGGUCAGCGUUGCUGUUCUG